GAUGAACGCUGGCGGCGUGCCUAAUACAUGCAAGUCGAGCGAACAGACGAGGAGCUUGCUCCUCUGACGUUAGCGGCGGACGGGUGAGUAACACGUGGAUAACCUACCUAUAAGACUGGGAUAACUUCGGGAAACCGGAGCUAAUACCGGAUAAUAUAUUGAACCGCAUGGUUCAAUAGUGAAAGACGGUUUUGCUGUCACUUAUAGAUGGAUCCGCGCCGCAUUAGCUAGUUGGUAGGGUAACGGCUUACCAAGGCAACGAUGCGUAGCCGACCUGAGAGGGUGAUCGGCCACACUGGAACUGAGACACGGUCCAGACUCCUACGGGAGGCAGCAGUAGGGAAUCUUCCGCAAUGGGCGAAAGCCUGACGGAGCAACGCCGCGUGAGUGAUGAAGGUCUUCGGAUCGUAAAGCUCUGUUAUUAGGGAAGAACAGAUGUGUAAGUAACUAUGCACGUCUUGACGGUACCUAAUCAGAAAGCCACGGCUAACUACGUG
rnacentral:rRNA from 1 species